rnacentral:lncRNA from 1 species
UUAUUACAGCGUUAUUAUUUUUACAUAGAACAGGAAAACCAAAUAAAAGAAGAGCAGAUUGAUCGUUUAUUAUUGUGCGAGAGAGAUGAUCUUAUAAUUAAGCAUAAAACAACUGGCUCUACUGAAAGUAAUCACGUACAAAAAAUUAAUAAUAACAAAGAAAUUGUGAUAGAAAAAAAAAAACAAAUGCAAACAAAUGAUACAGAUGGGGAUGAUACUUGUGUGGAUAAAACCAACGAACCGGAUGAAGUUUCUUGUAUAAAUGCAGAUAUUUCUGUGGUAGGAAAAACAAAAACAAAAAAAAAACCUAAAAACAUGUACCUCCAAGUAGACAUGAUAUAUGAAGAAUGUAAAAAGUAUGAGCAAGAUUAUUACACAAUGUAUAGAGAAAACGGUAAUAUCCCUGUUUCUGAUACUUUUCCUAUCGAAGUAUACCAAAACGAUCGAACAGAAAAAAUAAACAUACAACAUAAUAAUGAUACAAAAUGUAUGAACAAAAUAAUUACAUAUGCAUUCGUUGUAAAGAAAAUAAACAUAAUUGAAAUAGUUUUUAAUUUAGACAAUUAUUAUACAAAUACAAUUUUAAAAUCUUUAUACGCUUUAUUCCUUAAUGUACCACUGUUCACUAAAAAACAUUUGCAAGAUUUAUAUAAAAUUUUACUUUAUAGUAAUAAAAAAUAUAUUUUAAUGAAUGAACAAAAUAUUUUUGAAAAUAAAUUUUAUAAUAAAGACAAAAGUAAACAAAUGAAACAUAUUACGAAAAUUAUAACUAACCCUUUUAAAAAAUUAAAUAUUUAUCAUAUGUUUUUUAUUUUUGCUAAUAAUAAUCUUGAAUCAUUUUUAAAUUAUAUAAUCAAUUAUUUAAAUGAGGUUUACCAACCUGGUACAUCAUAUACAUGCACAGGUACGGGCACAGGUACGGGCACAGGUACGGGUACGGGUACGGGUACGGGUACGGGUAUGGGUACGGAUACGGAUACGGAUACGGAUACGGAUACGGAUACGGGUAUAGAUACGGGUAUAGAUACAGGUACAGGUACAGACACUGUCACACAUGUAGUUUAUGAUUAUAACAAAUCAGUUAUUUAUAACAACGCACUAUUCUUCCUACAACAUUUGAUAGCCUUUCACCACGUCACAGCUGAUACCAAACAUAUUAUUAAUGAUAUAGCACUAAAUUGUUUGUUCCUAUUAAUUGAUAUUUAUUUAAAAAAUUGUGAUAAUUUAAUUAAAAUUGUUAGAAAUAAGUACAGAAAAAAAUUAAAUUAUUUGGAUGGUGUAUAUUUUUUUAAAUUUAAUUUCACUAUUUCUUUAAAAAGGAAUAGUAAAGAGAAAAAAAAAAUCAUCACAGUAAUAAAAGAACACAAAAGUCCAUAUGUUGAUUUAAGGAUAGAAGAACAGAACAUAGUAAACACUUUAUUAUACAUAUCUGGUAAAAUACAAUUGUCAUUGUUAAGUAAUAAUAUAUUUAAAAAAUUAAUACAUAGUUUUAAACAUAGGUUGACAU